rnacentral:rRNA from 1 species
AGAUUGAACGCUGGCGGCAUGCCUUACACAUGCAAGUCGAACGGCAGCACGGGAGCAAUCCUGGUGGCGAGUGGCGAACGGGUGAGUAAUACAUCGGAACGUGCCCAAUCGUGGGGGAUAACGCAGCGAAAGCUGUGCUAAUACCGCAUAAGAUCUACGGAUGAAAGCAGGGGAUCGCAAGACCUUGCGCGAAUGGAGCGGCCGAUGGCAGAUUAGGUAGUUGGUGAGGUAAAGGCUCACCAAGCCUUCGAUCUGUAGCUGGUCUGGAGAGGACGACCAGCCACACUGGGACUGAGACACGGCCCAGACUCCUACGGGAGCAGCAGUGGGGAAUUUGGACAAGUGGGCGAAAGCCUGAUCCAGCCAUGCCGCGUGCAGGAUGAAGGCCGUUCGGUUGUAAACGUGUCUUUUUAGGUAACGGAACGAAAGUUCUACUUUACUAAGUAAAGAGGAUCAGUGACGUAACCGUAAGUAAAUAAGAC